rnacentral:rRNA from 1 species
GAUGAACGCUGGCGGAGUGCUUAACACAUGCAAGUCGAGCGAGCGGCGGACGGGUGAGUAAUGUAUGGGGACUGAACGGUAGAGGGGGAUAACUACUGGAAACGGUGGCUAAUACCCCAUACUGUAGGAUAACCCAUAUGGGAUUAGCUAGUAGUUAAGGUAAUGGCUUACCUAGGCGCCGAUCCCUAGCUGGUCUGAGAGGAUGAUCAGCCACACUGGGACUGAGACACUGCCCAGGCUCCUACGGAGGCAGCAGUGGGGAAUAUUGCCCAAUGGGCGCAAGCCUGAUGCAGCCAUGCCGCGUGUAUGAAGAAGGCCCUAGGGUUGUAAAGUACUUUCAGUCGGGAGGCGUUACCGACAGAAGAAGCACCGGCUAACUCCGUGCCAGCAGCCGCGGUAAUAC